rnacentral:rRNA from 1 species
UACGUAGGUGGCAAGCGUUAUCCGGAAUUACUGGGCGUAAAGCGCACGCAGGCGGCUUUUCAAGUUCGACGUGAAAGCUCCCGGCUUAACUGGGAGAGGUCGUUGAAGACUGAGAGGCUUGAGGCAAGGAGAGGGGUGUAGAAUUCCCGGUGUAGUGGUGGAAUGCGUAGAUAUCGGGAGGAAUACCAGUGGCGAAAGCGGCACCCUAGCCUUAGCCUGACGCUCAUGUGCGAAAGCGUGGGGAGCGAACGGG